AGGGUCGUGUUCACAUAGACCUUACCCCUAUCUUGGGUAGGUAGAGAGGCUAUUUCUGAUAGACCCUCUUAUAUCCUAUGCUUUUAAUGGCUAAGAUGUGAACCUAUUUGGAUGAGUUAAUAAGCUGUCGAAAUUCAAUAAAUAUUUGCUGUUGUCCUUUUGGUUAUAAAUUAUCUGUAUUUUUGAGGAAAUGUUUAACUUACUUUUUGGUUUGGGGAUGGGGGUGGGGAAGGACCAACACUUGAUACUGUAAUCUUGCUUAUAGGAUUUUGCUACUUGAGCCAGUUUCUUCAGCAUGGUGUUGGUCAAUAAUAAAUAUUAAUUUUGAGAUGUAGCAUCGAUGGAUUGUUGAAGGCUUGGAGUUAUCUUUUGGUAGGUUAAUUUAGCAAUUAAAUGAACAUAUUGACCAAUUCCUGCAAACAGGCUUCCCUCACAUGUUCUAUGAAUGGAUCAUUCUCAUUCAAAACUUACCAGACAGAAGUGUCAAAUUGUUCUCAUUUUUAUUGUCAAGCAAUGCAAACUAUAUUAUCUCUUUCUACAGAAAUACAGUUCUACUUUUUAUUUUCUUCAUUGGUGUAUUUUUUGUUGUGUCUGGCUCAAACAGGUUUUUAAGCGCUUACUGUGUUAAGAGUAAUUUCAAAUUAUCCAAAAAAGAUUUAAAAAAUAUUUUUUAACUUUUAGUAAUUAGAUUCUUGUCAUUCUGAAAAGUUUUCGAGAUUUUACUCCAUACUUGUGAUGCCAUUCUUUCGUCAUCAGGUCAAAGAUAUGAUGGAUCUGCAUUCUGCACAUAUGGCAUACCUGGAUGACUCCGUGCACAUAUGCUUCCUGUCUGAGGAAACUCAACAUAUUGCCAGCAUUAUAAGAAGCAUCUUGCAAUCUGCGGUGGAUUUUCGAUCUUGUCUGAGUGGAGACAUUUCACAGGUGCUUCACAUAAGGAAAACAUUUUCUGAGAAUAUCAAAGAGUUGUAUAUAUGUUAUCUUAAGUCGCCCAGACAUGUAGAAUUCGGCCUGUCAUGUUUCUGGGAGCGUCUGAAUUAUAACGACCAUUACUCAGAGGUUAUUGGUAAACAGAUGGGACACAAGGUCUUUCUCGUCUAAAACACCAAGAAUUGACUGCUGACUCGAAUGAGAAGAGGUUUAGAUGGUCGUGACAAAGAAACCACUGGUUUCACUUAGUGGGCUGGGAAUGCCCCCUUUCAAGGAGACUAUAUGCAGAAGGAGAGUAUUUUGUUUCAGGUGCUUGGAUAUGAUCACGUGGUCAGAUUUUUCAUGAGCAAUAGCACCUUGACAUUUCGUGGGUACAUUUUGUUCAAAGGCUCGCACAUGCCCAACAAGCACAGAUACAUUAAAUGUCGUGCAUUUCUAUAUAAGAUCCUUGAAAGCGGUAAUCUAUUUCAGGCGGAUAAUCUGGCUCUCUAUCUUGACACACAGACUUGCGACCUUUGGGUUGUCACAUUAUAGGAUGUCGUUUAGGUUUCAAUGAGUUUAAAAGUUUGGCAUGUCAUACAUAUUGUAUGCUGUAUGUAGCACAAGUGGAAUUUAGCCUUUGUUGAUAACUCGGUUGAAUUGUAAUUGUAACUUCUUUUAGUUUAUGUUGUAUACAUUAUGAGUAAAGAAAUUGGUUUUCCUGUUUGAGUUUUUAGUA